rnacentral:rRNA from 1 species
AUGGAUUCCAUCUUAGCUAACAGUACCUGGGAGAUCACUGACCGUCCUUAUGGGUGCAAACCUGUAGGAUGUAAGUGGGUGUUCAAUAAGAAGCUUAGACCUGAUGGUAUGAUUGAAAAGUACAAGGCACGGCUUGUGGCCAAGGGUUAUACCCAGAAAGAAGGUGAAGACUUCUUUGAUACUUACUCACCCGUGGCUAGACUGACCACAAUUCGGGUGCUACUAUCACUGGCCGCCUCACAUGGUCUUCUUGUUCAUCAAAUGGACGUUAAGACUGCUCUCCUCAAUGGAGAGUUGAAGGAGGAAAUUUACAUGGAUCAGCUAGAUGGUUUUGUAGUACCUGGUCAGGAAGGAAAGUGA